rnacentral:rRNA from 1 species
UACAGAGGGUGCGAGCGUUGUCCGGAAUCAUUGGGCGUAAAGCGCGUGUAGGCGGCUCGGUAAGUCCGCUCUGAAAGCCCGGGGCUCAACCCCGGGAGGCGGGUGGAUACUGUCGAGCUCGAGUCCGGAAGAGGAGUGUGGAAUUCCUGGUGUAGCGGUGAAAUGCGCAGAUAUCAGGAGGAACACCAAUGGCGAAGGCGAGUCUCUGGACAUUUCCUGACGCUGAGGCACGAAAGCCAGGGGAGCAAACGGG